GACGGAAGUUUUAAAAUUCAUUAAUAUAAAUUGAGAGCCUAGCUAUGACGAUUUGAAGUUGGUGGCCUAGUUUUCCACUGGAGGAUUCUAGGCCACCACCUACUCCAAAUUGUUAUAUCUCGGGUGAAAAUCAACAA
ensembl:ncRNA Y73B3A.29 ncRNA